rnacentral:rRNA from 1 species
UACGUAGGGGGCAAGCGUUGUUCGGAAUUACUGGGCGUAAAGCGCGCGUAGGCGGUUUGAAAAGUCAGAUGUGAAAGCCCCGGGCUCAACUUGGGAACUGCAUUUGAUACUGUCAGACUAGAGUACAGAAGAGGUGACUGGAAUUCCCAGUGUAGCGGUGAAAUGCGUAGAUAUUGGGAGGAACACCAGAUGCGAAGGCGGGUCACUGGGCUGAUACUGACGCUGAGGCACGAAGGUCAGGGGAGCAAACGGG